rnacentral:rRNA from 1 species
GUUAGGAAUAUUGGACAAUGGGCGCAAGCCUGAUCCAGCCAUGCCGCGUGAGUGAUGAAGGCCUUCGGGUUGUAAAGCUCUUUAGCCGAUGAUUAUAAUGACUGUAGUCGGAAAAUAAGCCCCGGCUAACUUCGUGCCAGCAGCCGCGGUAAUACGAAGGGGCCGAGCGUUAUUCGGAAUCACUGGGCGUACAGCGUGCGUAGGCGGCUUUGCAAGUUGGGAGUGAAAGCCCAGGGCCCAAACCUGGAAUGGCUCUCAAAACUGCAAGGCUCGAAUUCGGGAGAGGAUAGCGGAAAUGUCAGUGUAGCAGUGAAAUGCGUAGAUAUUGACAGGAACACCAGUGGCGUAAGCGGCUAUCUGGACCGAUAUUGACGCUGAGGCACGAAAGCGUGGGGAUCAAACAGGAUUAGAAACCCUAGUAGUCC